rnacentral:lncRNA from 1 species
GAUAUAUCAUGAUUGAAAGAGUCUGAAUAAUAAGCUGGCUAUAAUUCACAAUGUAGUUGUGAAUUAGCAUGAACAAAGUUUUGACUGAACAAGUAUUACAUGAACAAUAUAUAUUUGGACCAACUGGUAAUGAAGGUGAUCAACCUUUCAUACCUGACUUAUACAUACAAGAUGUACAGAGUACAAUUCUACAUGGUAAUCAGUAACGAUUAACCAUAAGCAUAUCUGAAUGAAAC